rnacentral:sRNA from 1 species
GAGGACAGGCUCCCGAGAGCCGUUCCUGAAAAGGUGGCUGUUCCUGAGCUGCAGGGACCCACGGGGCCCAACAGGCGGCGCUCACGUGUCAUUAUGGCCUGCGCUCGGGGAGCCUGCCCACGGGGUGCCCCGCGGGGGGAGGGGUGGCGUGGGAAGGGGAGGCCGGCUCCAGGCUGUGAGCUCAGUCGGCUGGCGGGGGCAGAGCUGGCUGCAGGCCCGGCCCCUCUCAGCUGCUGCCCUCUCCAGGUCCGCUCUGCAGUGUGUGCGUGAACCGCUUUGGCUGCCGGCCCGUCAUGCUUGUGGGGGGUCUCUUUGCGUCGCUGGGCAUGGUGGCUGCGUCCUUUUGCCGGAGCAUCAUCCAGGUCUACCUCACCACUGGGGUCAUCACGGGGUUGGGUUUGGCACUCAACUUCCAGCCCUCGCUCAUCAUGCUGAACCGCUACUUCAGCAAGCGGCGCCCCAUGGCCAACGGGCUGGCGGCAGCAGGCAGCCCUGUCUUCCUGUGUGCCCUGAGCCCGCUGGGGCAGCUGCUGCAGGACCGCUACGGCUGGCGGGGCGGCUUCCUCAUCCUGGGCGGCCUGCUGCUCAACUGCUGCGUGUGUGCUGCACUCAUGAGGCCCCUGGUGGCCAUGGCCCAGCCAGGCUCGGGGCCGCCGCGAUCCUCCCGGC